GAUAUGAUGGCCGUGUGGUUAAGGGGAUGGAUUGCUAAUACAUUGGGCUCUGCCCGUGUGGGUUCGAAUCCCAUUUACGUCG